UACGUAGGGGGGCGAGCGUUGUCCGGAAUCAUUGGGCGUAAAGAGCUCGUAGGCGGUCUGUCGCGUCUGCUGUGAAAACUCAGGGCUUAACCCUGAGCUUGCAGUGGGUACGGGCAGACUAGAGUGCGGUAGGGGAGACUGGAAUUCCUGGUGUAGCGGUGAAAUGCGCAGAUAUCAGGAGGAAUACCGAUGGCGAAGGCAGGUCUCCGGGCUGACACUGACGCUCAUGCACGAAAGCGUGGGGAGCAAACAGG
rnacentral:rRNA from 1 species